rnacentral:lncRNA from 1 species
UUUCGUGUAAGAACCUGGAAUUGAUUUCGAUGUAAUGUAUGCAUCUGUGGCGAGGUUAGUCGAAUGAGGCAGACAAGGUUAGUCGAAUCAUCUUAUGCCUAUAUGUAGAUAGCUUAUUGAUUACAUGUGUAGAUGAAACAUAGAUAAGAAAAGUCAAGUCAAAGUUGAUAUAGGAGUUUGAAAUGUUCGACCUAGGGAGUUUGUC